GGGGAUGUGGUUCAGUGGUAGAGCAUAUGCUUAGCAUGUGUGAAGCCCUAGGUUUAAUUCCAGGCACCACCA
rnacentral:tRNA from 1 species